rnacentral:rRNA from 1 species
AUACGGAGGAUCCGAGCGUUAUCCGGAUUUAUUGGGUUUAAAGGGAGCGUAGGUGGACAUGUAAGUCAGUUGUGAAAGUUUGCGGCUCAACCGUAAAAUUGCAGUUGAUACUGGCUGUCUUGAGUACAGUAGAGGUGGGCGGAAUUCGUGGUGUAGAGGUGAAAUGCUUAGAUAUCACGAAGAACUCCGAUUGCGAAGGCAGCUCACUGGACUGCAACUGACACUGAUGCUCGAAAGUGUGGGUAUCAAACAGGAUUAGAUACCCUGGUAGUCCACACAGUAAACGAUGAAUACUCGCUGUUUGCGAUAUACAGUAAGCGGCCAAGCGAAAGCAUUAAGUAUUCCACCUGGGGAGUACGCCGGCAACGGUGAAACUCAAAGGAAUUGACGGGG